AAAACGGGACAGCCAUAGCCAUUGGAAUAGGAAUAAAUUGUGAGAUCUUCUUAGGAGUUACAUCUCUCAGAAGAUUUAUAACCAAAGCGGCUAUAAAGAAACCACAACACAUGGCCAGGCAAUGUUUGGGCAGCUCAGAGAAGCCCUCAAUACCUAAUAUGGCCAUCUCCCUGAAUAUUACUGCAUAUGGAGCUUUGUAUGGACCAUCUGGUGCUCCAAUAUCAAAAGCAGUCCAAAACAUCCAAAAUGUCAAUGGGGCUAUAACACAACCCAUGGCUGUGCCUAUCAACUGGCUCACAAACAUAGAUUUGGCUGAUGAUAGAGUGAGGUAACCAGUCUUGAAAUCCUGCAUGAGAUCAGCUGCAGUGGAGACAAUUGACAUCAUCACCCCACAAGCUGCUAAUCCAGCUACAACUCCUCCAUUACUCCCAACCAUUGAAGCAAUGAUGAAAAGACCAAUUUUUCCAUAGGUUGACGCCAAGCUCCAGUCUGUUAGCCCAGUGCCAUAGGAAUUACAGAAGGCA
rnacentral:misc_RNA from 1 species